GGGGAUAAGCGGAAGAAAUUCCGUCUAAUACCGCAUAAUACAAUUUGGAGACAUCUCCGGGUUGUCAAAGGAGUGAUCCGGCAGAGGAUGGACAUGCGGCGCAUUAGCUAGUCGGCGGGGUAACGGCCCACCGAGGCUACGAUGCGUAGGGGUUCUGAGAGGAAGGUCCCCCACACUGGUACUGAGACACGGACCAGACUCCUACGGGAGGCAGCAGUGAGGAAUAUUGGUCAAUGGGCGGAAGCCUGAACCAGCCAAGUCGCGUGAGGGAAGACGGUCCUAUGGAUUGUAAACCUCCUUUGCAGGGGAGCAAGGCGCGGUACGUGUACCGCGAAGGAGAGUACCCUGAGAAAAAGCAUCGGCUAACUCCGUGCCAGCAGCCGCGGUAAUACGGAGGAUGCGAGCGUUAUCCGGAUUUAUUGGGUUUAAAGGGUGCGCAGGCGGACUGUUAAGUCAGCGGUAAAAUGUCGGUGCUCAACACCGGCCGGCCGUUGAAACUGGCAGCCUUGAGUGAGCGAGAAGUAUGCGGAAUGCGUGGUGUAGCGGUGAAAUGCAUAGAUAUCACGCAGAACUCCGAUUGCGAAGGCAGCAUACCGGCGCUCAACUGACGCUCAGGCACGAAAGCGUGGGUAUCGAACAGGCUUAGAUACCCUGGUAGUCCACGCAGUAAACG
rnacentral:rRNA from 1 species